rnacentral:rRNA from 1 species
AAGCGCUUGCCCCCAGACUUAUUUGCGGUGUUCCGCCGGUCUUUUGACCGGUCCACUCGCCGUAUAUAGGCCAGCAUCGUCUGGGGCCGCCGGAGAAAGGCGUCGGGAAUGUAGCUCCUCGGAGUAUUAUAGCCCGUCGCACAAUACGGCGUGCCCCGGGCGAGGUCCGCGCUUCGGCUAGGAUGCUGGCGUAAUGG